CAACGGAUCUCUUGGUUCUGGCAUCGAUGAAGAACGCAGCGAAAUGCGAUAAGUAAUGUGAAUUGCAGAAUUCAGUGAAUCAUCGAAUCUUUGAACGCACAUUGCGCCCGCCAGUAUUCUGGCGGGCAUGCCUGUUCGAGCGUCAUUUCAACCCUCA
rnacentral:rRNA from 1 species